GACGAACGCUGGCGGCGUGCUUAACACAUGCAAGUCGAACGGACCCUUUGGGGUUAGUGGCGAACGGGUGAGUAACACGUGGGUGAUCUGCCCUGCACUUUGGGAUAAGCCUGGGAAACUGGGUCUAAUACCGGAUAGGACUACGCACUGCAUGGUGUGUGGUGGAAAGCUUUUGCGGUGUGGGAUGGGCCCGCGGCCUAUCAGCUUGUUGGUGGGGUGAUGGCCUACCAAGGCGACGACGGGUAGCCGGCCUGAGAGGGUGACCGGCCACACUGGGACUGAGAUACGGCCCAGACUCCUACGGGAGGCAGCAGUGGGGAAUAUUGCACAAUGGGCGCAAGCCUGAUGCAGCGACGCCGCGUGAGGGAUGACGGCCUUCGGGUUGUAAACCUCUUUCGCCAGGGACGAAGCGCAAGUGACGGUACCUGGAGAAGAAGGACCGGCCAACUACGUGCCAGCAGCCGCGGUAAUACGUAGGGUCCGAGCGUUGUCCGGAAUUACUGGGCGUAAAGAGCUCGUAGGUGGUUUGUCGCGUUGUUCGUGAAAACUCACAGCUUAACUGUGGGCGUGCGGGCGAUACGGGCAGACUGGAGUACUGCAGGGGAGACUGGAAUUCCUGGUGUAGCGGUGGAAUGCGCAGAUAUCAGGAGGAACACCGGUGGCGAAGGCGGGUCUCUGGGCAGUAACUGACGCUGAGGAGCGAAAGCGUGGGGAGCGAACAGGAUUAGAUACCCUGGUAGUCCACGCCGUAAACGGUGGGUACUAGGUGUGGGUUUCCUUCCUUGGGAUCCGUGCCGUAGCUAACGCAUUAAGUACCCCGCCUGGGGAGUACGGCCGCAAGGCUAAAACUCAAAGGAAUUGACGGGGGCCCGCACAAGCGGCGGAGCAUGUGGAUUAAUUCGAUGCAACGCGAAGAACCUUACCUGGGUUUGACAUGCACAGGACGCCGGCAGAGAUGUCGGUUCCCUUGUGGCCUGUGUGCAGGUGGCGCAUGGCUGUCGUCAGCUCGUGUCGUGAGAUGUUGGGUUAAGUCCCGCAACGAGCGCAACCCUUGUCUCAUGUUGCCAGCACGUUAUGGUGGGGACUCGUGAGAGACUGCCGGGGUCAACUCGGAGGAAGGUGGGGAUGACGUCAAGUCAUCAUGCCCCUUAUGUCCAGGGCUUCACACAUGCUACAAUGGCCGGUACAAAGGGCUGCGAUGCCGUGAGGUGGAGCGAAUCCUUUCAAAGCCGGUCUCAGUUCGGAUCGGGGUCUGCAACUCGACCCCGUGAAGUCGGAGUCGCUAGUAAUCGCAGAUCAGCAACGCUGCGGUGAAUACGUUCCCGGGCCU
rnacentral:rRNA from 1 species